GAGGGGUCCGCGCCUGAUUAGCUAGUUGGCGAGGUAAUGGCUCACCAAGGCUUCGAUCAGUAGCCGUCCUGAGAGGGAGCACGGCCACACUGGAACUGAGACACGGUCCAGACUCCUACGGGAGGCAGCAGUGGGGAAUUUUUGGCAAUGGGCGCAAGCCUGACCAAGCAACGCCGCGUGGGUGAUGAAGUAUCUCGGUACGUAAAACCCUUUUGGCAGAGACGAACCCAAUGACGGUACCUGCAGAAGAAGCCCCGGCUAACUCCGUGUCAGCAGCCGCGGUAAUACGGGGGGGGCAAGCGUUGUUCGGAAUUACUGGGCGUAAAGGGCGCGUAGGCGGUUGGACAAGUCAGCUGUGAAAACCUCGGGCUUAACUCGAGGCCUGCAGUUGAAACUGUCUGGCUAGAGUGUGGGAGAGGAGGGUGGAAUUCCCGGUGUAGCGGUGAAAUGCGUAGAUAUCGGGAGG
rnacentral:rRNA from 1 species